AACAUUACCCUUUACUAAAGGGCUCUUCAGCAAGGAUGUAGGCAAACAAAACAGCAAUGCUUCAAUCUCAAAUGAAUUCAGAAGAUGUAAACAUAAGUUGUCCCAACAGAGCGUGCUAGAUAAAGGGAUAUAUUACUACAAAAUCUUGCCUUAGAUUUCAGCAAGUAGCCACAAUUAACAAAAAUACAAUGUUCCAAUCGUUCCAUGUAUUUAUAUAACAAAUCAGCUUUGGACAUAUCCAAGGACCUCCCUUUUCUCCAUCAGAUAGCUAGCUAGGUCCAGACAAAUUUUUCUUUGCCACAAGCCA
rnacentral:misc_RNA from 1 species